UAGGGAAUCUUCCGCAAUGGACGCAAGUCUGACGGAGCAACGCCGCGUGAGUGAAGAAGGUCUUCGGAUCGUAAGGCUCUGUUGUUAGAGAAGAACAGCGCAUAGAGUAACUGUUAUGCGUGUGACGGUAUCUAACCAGAAAGCCACGGCUAACUACGUGCCAGCAGCCGCGGUAAUACGUAGGUGGCGAGCGUUGUCCGGAUUUAUUGGGCGUAAAGGGAGUGUAGGCGGUCUUUUAAGUCUGAUGUGAAAGCCCACGGCUCAACCGUGGAGGGUCAUUGGAAACUGGGAGACUUGAGUGCAGAAGAGGAGAGCGGAAUUCCAUGUGUAGCGGUGAAAUGCGUAGAUAUAUGGAGGAACACCAGUGGCGAAGGCGGCUCUCUGGUCUGUAACUGACGCUGAGGCUCGAAAGCGUGGGGAGCAAACAGGAUUAGAUACCCUGGUAGUCCACGCCGUAAACGAUGAGUGCUAAGUGUUGGAGGGGUUCCACCCUUCAGUGCUGGAGUUAACGCAAUAAGCACUCCGCCUGGGGAGUACGGCCGCAAGGCU
rnacentral:rRNA from 1 species